GAACACUGGCAGAUACACUGAGCCCUAGAAGACAGAAACCGGGCAAAGAAGACAGAGAAGCCUGGAGAGAUAUCAAGAGGCCCAGAGACCCAAAAUGUCACAGAGAUAAGUGAUAGAUUCACGACUCUAGAGAAACUGAAGCUUCGUGAACCACAGAGACAGUGGGACAGGAUCUCACUAUGGCCUGCAACUCACUUUGCUGAGCUGCAUGUGAGUGCAGGUGCCUACGAAAACCAGGAGAGGGCAUCGGAUACCCUGGAUCUGGAGUUAAAGGCCUCUGUGAACCACCAGGAUUGGUGAUGAGAACUGAACACCACUUGUCUUCAAGAGCAAUACAUGUUCUUAAGCAUUGAGUUGUACCUCCA